rnacentral:rRNA from 1 species
GAGUCGAGCGGUAACACAGGGAGCUUGCUCCUGGGUGACGAGCGGCGGACGGGUGAGUAAUGUCUGGGAAACUGCCUGAUGGAGGGGGAUAACUACUGGAAACGGUAGCUAAUACCGCAUAAUGUCGCAAGACCAAAGAGGGGGACCUUCGGGCCUCUUGCCAUCAGAUGUGCCCAGAUGGGAUUAGCUAGUAGGUGGGGUAACGGCUCACCUAGGCGACGAUCCCUAGCUGGUCUGAGAGGAUGACCAGCCACACUGGAACUGAGACACGGUCCAGACUCCUACGGGAGGCAGCAGUGGGGAAUAUUGCACAAUGGGCGCAAGCCUGAUGCAGCCAUGCCGCGUGUAUGAAGAAGGCCUUCGGGUUGUAAAGUACUUUCAGCGAGGAGGAAGGCAUUGUGGUUAAUAACCACAGUGAUUGACGUUACUCGCAGAAGAAGCACCGGCUAACUCCGUGCCAGCAGCCGCGGUAAUACGGAGGGUGCAAGCGUUAAUCGGAAUUACUGGGCGUAAAGCGCACGCAGGCGGUCUGUCAAGUCGGAUGUGAAAUCCCCGGGCUCAACCUGGGAACUGCAUUCGAAACUGGCAGGCUAGAGUCUUGUAGAGGGGGGUAGAAUUCCAGGUGUAGCGGUGAAAUGCGUAGAGAUCUGGAGGAAUACCGGUGGCGAAGGCGGCCCCCUGGACAAAGACUGACGCUCAGGUGCGAAAGCGUGGGGAGCAAACAGGAUUAGAUACCCUGGUAGUCCACGCCGUAAACGAUGUCGAUUUGGAGGUUGUUCCCUUGAGGAGUGGCUUCCGGAGCUAACGCGUUAAAUCGACCGCCUGGGGAGUACGGCCGCAAGGUUAAAACUCAAAUGAAUUGACGGGGGCCCGCACAAGCGGUGGAGCAUGUGGUUUAAUUCGAUGCAACGCGAAGAACCUUACCUACUCUUGACAUCCAGAGAACUUUCCAGAGAUGGAUUGGUGCCUUCGGGAACUCUGAGACAGGUGCUGCAUGGCUGUCGUCAGCUCGUGUUGUGAAAUGUUGGGUUAAGUCCCGCAACGAGCGCAACCCUUAUCCUUUGUUGCCAGCGGUUCGGCCGGGAACUCAAAGGAAACUGCCAGUGAUAAACUGGAGGAAAGGUGGGGA